rnacentral:sRNA from 1 species
AGUGCUAAGCUCCAAGGUAGCCUGGGCUAAUGGGUGUGUGAGGCCAAGAAAAAGGGAGCUGGAAGCUGAAUCAGACAAGGCCUGUACCCCGCCAGGAGCCCUGAUCUCCAAGGGGAAGAGCAGUGCUCAGAAAGGCCAGAGCGUGGUAAACAGUGCCUUCCAGGCCAUGUGUCCUUCAAGCCCAGCUUAGACCAACAGCGUUCAUGCCCAACCUGUACAGACUCCCUCCUCAAUGGAGAUUUCACUAUCACCUAUGACGUGAACAGAGAAUCUCCUGGUAACGUGCAGAUAGUCAAUGGCUACUUCGUGCACUUCUUUGCACCUCAAGGCCUUCCAGUGGUGCCUAAGAACGUGGCCUUCGUGAUUGACAUCAGCGGCUCCAUGGCUGGUCGGAAAUUAGAGCAGACAAAGGAGGCCCUUCUCAGAAUCCUGGAAGAUAUGAAAAAGGAAGACUAUCUGAAUUUCAUCCUGUUCAGUGGAGAUGUAUCCACAUGGAAAGAGCACUUAGUCCAGGCCACGCCCGAAAACC